AAAAACAUGUCUUAUUGAUUAUAAUUUUAAGUCUAAUCUGCCCAAUGAUUAAAUUAAAUGGCUGCAGUAUUUAUAACUGUACAAAGGUAGCAUAAUAAUUAGUUUUUUAAUUGAAAACUAGAAUGAAAGAUUAAAUGAAAUAUAUACUAUAUAAAUAAAAUUAAAAAUUAAAAUUAAAAUUUAAGUAAAAAUUCUUAAAUUAAUUUAAAAGACGAGAAGACCCUAUAGAAUUUUAUUUUUACAUUAUUUUAAAAUUUAUUAUUAAAUUUAAAUAAAUAAUUAAAAAUUUAAUUGGGGUAAUUAUAAAAUUAAAUUAAUUUUUAUUUAAAAAACAUAAAUUAAUGAAUUUUUAAUCUUAAAAUUUAGAUUAAAAAAUUAAAUUACCUUAGGGA
rnacentral:rRNA from 1 species